CUUCGUCACUGUUCGGCAAAUCGCGAAAUCGGCAUUUAGCCAAUUAUAAAAGUGAAGAACGAAGGCGAGAGAUAAAGCGAUAAAUUGUGGAUUUAAAAUGCCAAAAUGUGGCCUUAUGCCAAAACCACCAUGGUCUAAGUAUUACUAGUAAUAGUAUUUGUUUUUUAUUUGUCGAAAAUCGACGGGAGGCUGAAAUGUGAAACCCAUG